AGAUAAGUUCAUAUGGUGGUCAAUGUAUCGUUGUUCAGUGUGAUCAUAGUGAUGAUGAGCAAGUUGAAAAUGUUUUUGAAAAAAUUAAACAUGAACAAGAUGGCAGGCUGGAUAUUCUUGUCAAUAACGCUUUUGGAGGUGUAGCGGUAAGAUUUCUGUCUUCAGUUAACAUAGAAAGUGGAAAUUUAUGAGUCAUUUCGGCAGGAUGGUUUAUGUUUAGCGCAGUGGCGGCACUUCGCCAUAGAUUGGGGGGGCGAAUUAGAUUUUUACCAACAUAUAUGAUCGCUUUUUGUACCUGGAAACUGUCUUAGUCAGUCCUUAAGAGUUUUGCCUUAAAUUUCAUGUAAUUUUAGCCUACCAACGCAUUGAUAGUUAAAAACGCAUUCAGAUAAACGUUAAAAAGGCUCUCAGAAAUUAUUGAGGAGCAGCAGUUGCCGGCCUAGCCACCCCCCUCACCCUUAGUGUUCAACCCUCGUUCGUCAAUUCUCUUACAAACUCCCCCAAAUCUAGCAUAGUCGAAACAUACACAUACAUAUAGUAUGUAAUAUAUAACAUCUAUUGCAUGGUAGCAGAGAAAUGAAAACAAGUUGCGUUUGUCAUUCCAUCAAAUUAACAAUACCGUCUCCUCGUAUUUUUUUUUUCAAUCGGGAAAGAAAGUUAUCCAAGUAUGCUAUGGACGAUUCGAUUAUUGUUAAGAAUAAUCGACGCCAAAAAUUGCAAGAAAAUAAUCGAUUAGUCGAUCAAACGAUCAUUCGAGAGCAGCUGCAUCUCAACUGCAAGAAAAGAUCCUUUAUCCCCCGUAAUAAAGUGCAUUGUGAAGAAUAAUUCCCAAACCCCGAAAUAUUAUGCAGCGAUUUUAAAAUCCCAAAUGUCCUCGCACAUACAGCCACCACUUGAAGGAGUAUGCUUUGGUUAUUAUGAUUUUUUCUGUAUUACUUUAUUAGGUUAUAAUGGAAUCUGUGGGAAAAUUUUGGGAAGAGGUAAUAAAUAAUUUAAAAUUCGUUCUGUGCAAAUAAACAGUGUUUGUCAUACAUUGUGCUCAGCGUCCUUGUCAGGGAAAAGCCAUUUCUCAUUAUAAACGGGUUCCCAGCGAAACUAAAAACCGAAGGUAUUUCGAAUAAUAACAUCUUGCGAGCUCAAUAUGUAGUUGUAUGUAGUAUAUAAUGGGGGUAUUUCUAUAGCAAAAGGUUUGACCAAAGCAUUUUAUCAUAUUUUUAUAGCCUAUUUCAAAUUGGGAUGCUAUAAACAACGUUGGACUAAGGUCAGUCCGUUAUUUUAUUAAUCCUGAUUAAUUUAAUGAUUUAA